rnacentral:rRNA from 1 species
AUGAAGAUGAGCCGGCAAUGGAUGUACGAUGACCGAUGCUCUCCCCAGUUCGUUGAGGGCGUGCAUACUUUUCUGCUUGCGGCUGAGGCAAACAAGCGGGCGGAUGGUUUUAUGCCUUGUCCAUGUGCUCGCUGUAAGAAUGGUCACAAUUACUCUACGUCAAGAACCAUUCACGUCCACUUGUUUAAGUCCGGUUUCAUGCCCCAUUAUAAUGUUUGGACCAAGCACGGAGAAAGAGGGGUUAUGAUGGAAGACAAUGAAGAAGAAGAGGACGACGACAGCUAUCCUGGCCAUGGGUUUCCUGAAUACGAUGAUACAACAAUGGGGGAAGAAGCUGAGCCGGUAAUGCAGGAAGAAGCUGAGCCGGCAAUGCGGGAAGAAGCUGAAGAAGAGGCAUCAGAUGAGCCCGUUGAUGAUCUAGGUCGGGCCAUUGCCGAUGCAAAGAGAAACUGCGCAAGUGAUUUGGAGAAGAAGAAGUUGCAGCGCAUGUUAGAGGAUCACAAAAAAUUGUUGUACCCGAAUUGCGUAGGUGACAAGAAAAAGCUGGGCACCACACUGGAUUUGCUGCAAUGGAAGGCAGAGAAUGGUGUAUCUGACAAGGGAUUUGGAAAGUUGCUGGUAAUGAUAAAGGAUAUGCUUCCAAAGGAUAACGAAUUGCCCGAGAGUACAUACGAAGCAAAGAAGGCUAUCUGCCCUCUAGGGUUAGAGGUGCAGAAGAUAUAUGCAUGCCCUAAUGAUUGCAUCCUCUACCGCGGUGAGUAUGAGGAUUUGAACGCUUGCCCGGUAUGUGGUGCAUUGCGCUAUAAGAUCUGCCGCGAUGACCCUGGUGAUGUCGAGGGCCGGCGUCCCAGGAAGAAGAUUCCUGCCAAGGUGAUGUGGUAUGCUCCUAUAAUAUCACGGUUGAAACGUUUGUUCCAAAACAAAGAGCAUGCCAAGGCGAUGCGAUGGCACAGAGAAGACCGUAAGAAAGACGGAAAGUUGAGAGUACCCGCUGACGGGUCGCAGUGGAGAAAAAUCGAAAGAAAGUACGGGAAGGAGUUUGCAGAUGACGCAAGGAGCGUAUGGUUUGGUCUAAGCGCAGAUGGCAUUAAUCCUUUUGGGGAGCAGAGCAGCAACCAUAGCACCUGGCCUGUGACUCUAUAUUUGUAUAACCUUCCUUCUUGGUUGUGCAUGAAGCGGAAGUUCAUUAUGAUGCCAGUGCUCAUCCAAGGCCCUAAGCAACCCGACAACGACAUUGAUGUGUACCUAAGGCCAUUAGUUGAAGAACUCUUACAACUGUGGAAUGGAACAGGUGUACGUGCGUGGGAUGAGCACAUGGGGGAAGAAUUUGACCCAAAGGCAUUGCUGUUCGUGACCAUCAAUGAUUGGCCUGCUCUCAGUAACCUUUCAGGACAGACAAACAAGGGAUACCGCGCAUGCACGCACUAUUUGGACGAUACCAACAGUAUAUAUUUGGCUAAUAAGAAUGUGUACCUUGGACAUCGUCGAUUUCUUCCGAGCAGGCAUCCCGUAAGAAAGAAAGGCAAUCAUUUCAAAGGUGAGGCGGAUCACCGGACGAAGCCUCGCCACCGUACUGGUGCUGAUGUACAUGAUAUGGUCAAGGAUUUGAAGGUGGUCUUUGGAAAGGGUCCUGGUGGACAACCUGUUCCGAAUGACGCUGACGGACGCUCACCCAUGUGGAAGAAGAAAUCUAUAUUUUGGGACCUGCCCUAUUGGAAAGACCUCGAGGUCCGCUCCGCAAUCGAUGUGAUGCACGUGACGAAGAAUCUUUGUGUGACCCUGCUUGGCUUCUUGGGCGUGUAUGGGAAGACAAAAGAUACACCUGAGGCACGGGAGGACCAGCAACGUAUGCACGGAAAAGACGGCAUACAUCAGGGUCAUGCAAGCUACGCUCUUACCAAAGAAGAGAAGGAAAUCUUCUUUGAAUGCCUGCUCAGUAUUAAGGUACCGUCUGGCUUCUCGUCGAAUAUAAAGGGAAUAAUAAACAUGGCAGAGAAAAAGUUCUAG